GUGUAGGCAGCCGCUUACACCAGUCUUGUUGACUUUGCAACUUGAUCUAUAGCAAGGGAACAAGGAACCGGCCCCACCUGCCUGCUGCCCAGCUCCCUCGGGCACAACGUGCGAGGCCCGUAGCCUUGUCUCCAGGCGAGCGGAGAUCUGACAUGAUGAAGGAAACUGUUUAACCCUAUUGCCCUUCCUGGGUGUUAUUCAUGCUACAUGAGUCAAUUCUCGUGAUGCCGGGUGUCCAGAGGUAAGUUCAACCACUGGUACCUCCAUGUGUCAGAAGCUAGGCCCACAGGAAGCCAGCUCUCAGGGCCAGACAUCACAGUGAGAGGGACGGUCAAGAAGCCUGCCAGUCCUCUGGAACACCAGUCCUUAGACUUCCGUGAUGCCCUCGGUCUGCAGUGUGGAACAUAUGGCCGCCUUGGUCUAGGUCGGUGCCCUGUCAGAUUCUGAUCCGUGAAGCUGCCCAUUUCCAGCGUGAAAUGAGGCAGAAAGGAGAAGAUGAGUACCCGGUGGGACAAAGAAGCUGGGCCUCUACAAAAUAAUAAUGCCACCACGAGGCUCAAAUUCUCUGAUCCUUCGUCUGCAAUCAUCUCUCAGUGGAAUUUGGAGACGUGUUCUAAACAUGAAUUUCCUGAAAUCAGAAAUCAUAGAUCA